rnacentral:rRNA from 1 species
CGGGGUGAGUAACGCGUGGGUAACCUGCCAUAUACAGGGGGAUAACAGCGAGAAAUUGCUGCUAAAACCGCAUAAGCGCACGGAGUCGCAUGACUCAGUGUGAAAAACUCCGGUGGUAUAUGAUGGACCCGCGUCUGAUUAGCCAGUUGGCAGGGUAACGGCCUACCAAAGCGACGAUCAGUAGCCGGCCUGAGAGGGUGGACGGCCACAUUGGGGCUGAGACACGGCCCAAACUCCUACGGGAGGCAGCAG